GUCGGNCAUGCCUAAUACAUGCAAGUCGAGCGAAUGGAUUAAGAGCUUGCUCUUAUGAAGUUAGCGGCGGACGGGUGAGUAACACGUGGGUAACCUGCCCAUAAGACUGGGAUAACUCCGGGAAACCGGGGUUAAUACCUGGAUAACAUUUUGAACCGCAUGGUUCGAAAUUGAAAGGCGGCUUCGGCUGUCACUUAUGGAUAGGACCCGCGUCGCAUUAGCUAGUUGGUGAGGUAACGGCUCACCAAGGCAACGAUGCGUAGCCGACCUAGAGAGGGUAGAUCGGCCACACUGGGACUGAGACACGGCCCAGACUACCUACGGGAGGCAGCAGAAGGGAAUCUUCCGCAAUGGACGAAAGUCUGACGGAGCAACGCCGCGUGAGUGAUAGAAGUGCUUUCGGGUCGUAAAACUCUGUUGUUAGGGAAGAACAAGUGCUAGUUGAAUAAGCUGGCACCUUGACGGUACCUAACCAGAAAGCCACGGCUAACUACGUAGCCCAGCAAGCCCGCAGGGUAAUAACCGNUUAGGGUCAGGCCAAGCGGUAANCCGGGAAAUAAAUUAGGGGACGUUNAAAAAGCGCGCA
rnacentral:rRNA from 1 species